GAUGAAGAACGCAGUGAAAUGCGAUCAGUAAUGUGAAUUGCAGAAUUCAGUGAAUCAUCGAAUCUUUGAACGCACAUUGCGCCCGCCAGCACUCUGGCGGGCAUGCCUGUUCGAGCGUCAUUUCAACCAUCAAGCCCCCAGGGGCUUGUGCUGGGGCCCUGCGGCUGCCCGCAGGCCCUGAAAACCAGUGGCGGGCUCGCUAGUCACACCGAGCGCAGUAGCACAUCUCGCUCAGGGCGUGCGGCGGGCUCCUGCCGUGAAACCCCCCACUGUAACCCCAAAGGUUGACCUCGGAUCAGGUAGGAAUACCCGCUGAACUUAAGCAUAUCAAUAAGCGGAGGA
rnacentral:misc_RNA from 1 species